GAGUUUGAUCCUGGCUCAGGACGAACGCUGGCGGCGUGCCUAAUACAUGCAAGUCGAACGAACGUCUUCGGACGUUAGUGGCGAACGGGUGAGUAAUACGUAAGUAACCAACCUAUUAGACGAGGAUAACUACUGGAAACGGUAGCUAAUACUGGAUAGGAUAGAAAUAUUUAAAGAUGCUCAUGGCAUCACUAAUAGAUGGGCUUACGGCGCAUUAGCUAGUUGGUAGGGUAAGAGCCUACCAAGGCGACGAUGCGUAGCCGACCUGAGAGGGUGAACGGCCACACUGGGACUGAGACACGGCCCAGACUCCUACGGGAGGCAGCAGUAGGGAAUCUUCGGCAAUGGACGAAAGUCUGACCGAGCAACGCCGCGUGAGUGAAGAAGGUCUUCGGAUUGUAAAGCUCUGUUAUUAGGGAAGAAAGAGUAUAGCAGGAAAUGGCUAUGAAGUGACGGUACCUAAUGAGGAAGCCACGGCUAACUACGUGCCAGCAGCCGCGGUAAUACGUAGGUGGCAAGCGUUGUCCGGAAUUAUUGGGCGUAAAGCGUGCGUAGGCGGUCUAUUAAGUCUUAUUUGAAAGCCCAUGGCUUAACCAUGGAGGGUGAUAGGAAACUGGUAGACUUGAGUGCAGGAGAGGAAGGUGGAAUUCCACGUGUAGCGGUGAAAUGCGUAGAUAUGUGGAGGAACACCAGUGGCGAAGGCGGCCUUCUGGCCUGUAACUGACGCUGAGGCACGAAAGCGUGGGUAGCAAACAGGAUUAGAUACCCUGGUAGUCCACGCCGUANACGAUGAGUACUAAGUGUUGGGGGAAACCUCGGUGCUGAAGUUAACGCAUUAAGUACUCCGCCUGGGAAGUACGGUCGCAAGACU
rnacentral:rRNA from 1 species